rnacentral:rRNA from 1 species
GUAGGGAAUAUUGGGCAAUGGUCGGAAGACUGACCCAGCCAUGCCGCGUGCAGGAAGACGGCCCUCUGGGUUGUAAACUGCUUUUAUCUGGGAAGAAAAAGGCCAUGCGUGGCAAAUUGCCGGUACCAGAUGAAUAAGCACCGGCUAACUCCGUGCCAGCAGCCGCGGUAAUACGGAGGGUGCAAGCGUUGUCCGGAUCUAUUGGGUUUAAAGGGUGCGUAGGCGGCUGAUUAAGUCAGCGGUGAAAGACUCCGGAUUAACCGGAGCAGUGCCGUUGAUACUGGUUAGCUUGAGUGUUGGAGGGGUACAUGGAAUUGAUGGUGUAGCGGUGAAAUGCAUAGAUACCAUCAGGAACACCGAUAGCGAAGGCAUUGUACUGGCCAACAACUGACGCUGAUGCACGAAAGUGUGGGGAUCGAACAGGAUUAGAUACCCCUGUAGUCC